GACGAACGCUGGCGGCGUGCCUAAUACAUGCAAGUAGAACGCUGAAGAGAGGAGCUUGCUCUUCUUGGAUGAGUUGCGAACGGGUGAGUAACGCGUAGGUAACCUGCCUUGUAGUGGGGGAUAACUAUUGGAAACGAUAGCUAAUACCGCAUAACAAUGGAUGACACAUGUCAUUUAUUUGAAAGGGGCAAUUGCUCCACUACAAGAUGGACCUGCGUUGUAUUAGCUAGUAGGUGAGGUAAUGGCUCACCUAGGCGACGAUACAUAGCCGACCUGAGAGGGUGAUCGGCCACACUGGGACUGAGACACGGCCCAGACUCCUACGGGAGGCAGCAGUAGGGAAUCUUCGGCAAUGGGGGCAACCCUGACCGAGCAACGCCGCGUGAGUGAAGAAGGUUUUCGGAUCGUAAAGCUCUGUUGUAAGUCAAGAACGGGUGUGAGAGUGGAAAGUUCACACUGUGACGGUAGCUUACCAGAAAGGGACGGCUAACUACGUGCCAGCAGCCGCGGUAAUACGUAGAUCCCGAGCGUUGUCCGGAUUUAUUGGGCGUAAAGCGAGCGCAAGCGGUUUGAUAAGUCUGAAGUUAAAGGCUGUGGCUCAACCAUAGUUCGCUUUGGAAACUGUCAAACUUGAGUGCAGAAGGGGAGAGUGGAAUUCCAUGUGUAGCGGUGAAAUGCGUAGAUAUAUGGAGGAACACCGGUGGCGAAAGCGGCUCUCUGGUCUGUAACUGACGCUGAGGCUCGAAAGCGUGGGGAGCGAACAGGAUUAGAUACCCUGGUAGUCCACGCCGUAAACGAUGAGUGCUAGGUGUUGGAUCCUUUCCGGGAUUCAGUGCCGCAGCUAACGCAUUAAGCACUCCGCCUGGGGAGUACGACCGCAAGGUUGAAACUCAAAGGAAUUGACGGGGGCCCGCACAAGCGGUGGAGCAUGUGGUUUAAUUCGAAGCAACGCGAAGAACCUUACCAGGUCUUGACAUCCCGAUGCUAUUUCUAGAGAUAGAAAGUUACUUCGGUACAUCGGUGACAGGUGGUGCAUGGUUGUCGUCAGCUCGUGUCGUGAGAUGUUGGGUUAAGUCCCGCAACGAGCGCAACCCCUAUUGUUAGUUGCCAUCAUUCAGUUGGGCACUCUAGCGAGACUGCCGGUAAUAAACCGGAGGAAGGUGGGGAUGACGUCAAAUCAUCAUGCCCCUUAUGACCUGGGCUACACACGUGCUACAAUGGUUGGUACAACGAGUUGCGAGUCGGUGACGGCGAGCUAAUCUCUUAAAGCCAAUCUCAGUUCGGAUUGUAGGCUGCAACUCGCCUACAUGAAGUCGGAAUCGCUAGUAAUCGCGGAUCAGCACGCCGCGGUGAAUACGUUCCCGGGCCU
rnacentral:rRNA from 1 species